GAACUCCAUUUACAAUACACAAAUCAAAGAAACCUAGCGGUUUAACUUCAAAUCCUUGACCAAAAAAAAAAAACUUCAAAUCGCUCCUUCUUCUCUCCGUCGCGCACGAGCUCCUUUUUCUCCAUUCCUCGCCUACAGCUCCACCGCCGGCCACCCUAACCGCCGGAGCUACCUUCUCCUGCUUCUCCUCUUUUUUAAACAAAGCAAGCUCCGUGUCUUUCUUGUUCGCAGAACAAAGCAAGCUCAAGCUCCACCGCUGCCGCGCCUCUCUCUCUCCUUUUAUCCCCCUCAGUUUUGGCUCGCAUACCUUCGCGCAAGCCCUAACUCCGUGGCGACCAAAAUCGGUUCCACCUCUCUUUUUCCCCCUGUUCGAACUGAUAGGGUGCGUGAGCUAGGGUUUUGGUUUUGCGGCAGUGGUUGUUCAUUGGAGAGCCAUUGGCGAUGCUCCUAUGCUCUUGUUGAAUGGCGAAGCUUGAAGCGAAGCUGGGAACGAUAGUUGACUCCGUUGGUAACUUCUUCUCUGGCAAAGACCAGCUUCCCUGGUGUGACCCUGAUAUCGUCGCUGUCAAAAUUGAAGUGGCAACUAUUCAAGGAGUAGGGAUCUUGUGGAGAGGUGCCUAAUAGUUGUGCUUCUGCUCUUAUGGAGGAGGCUAGAGGUAUUUGGUCUGACUUUCUUGUUACCGCUCUCUAUGAAGAGUGGAGAAAGUGUAAAAGAGUUGAUGUUCCAGAUGGAUAAUUUUCUACAGUUGAUGUUCCAGAUGGAUUAUGUGAAAAAUGGGCAUGAUGGCUUCCUUGCAGUUCAGAGUGGAAUUGCCUACCUCAGAAGGAUUCUGCACAUCUUCCCUAACUGUAGUUUGAUAAGAUAGAAAGAAAGCAAAAAGGAAAAGAUGUUGAAGGUGAAGGUGUAUGCGGACCGCAUGUCCCAGCCAUCUCGUGCCGUUCUUAUCUUCUGCAAAGUUAAUGGAAUAGAAUUCGACGAGAUUAAAGUUGAAAUCUCCAAAAGACAGCAGUUAUCUCCCGAAUUUGCAGAUAUGUGAAAUCCAAACUCAACCCUACUCACCUGCAGAUUCAACGACUGUCUCUUUGCUCUUCUCCAAGUUAGGAACAAGUACAAAAGGUGCUGAAUUAAGGAGAGAAGAGAGAGAGAAUUUUGGAGAAGGUUUGAAGUGAUUGGAUUUCACAGUUAUAUGCAUUAAAAGCUAUCUAAGGCCAUAGAGCAGUUACAAUGAAAUAUAUGCACGGCUUCAAUAAUAAUAAUAAUAUCAAAUACAUGCCGUAAACUACAAGUGUAUAUACAUGCAUGAUUCAAGAAUGAUCAUCUUCAAAGUGUAACUGGCGGCUUAAGACUGUUGUAGGAUGAAUGCUUUAUCAUUGAAAACUUUAAGGAACCAACAUGCCGUGGCAUCUAAGAUCCAGGCUGUUUAUAGAGGCUAUAUGGAAUAUGGGAAGCACAGAUGCCAAGUGGAAAUUGGCUGAUCACCCAAAGGGAAAUUAAAGCUAGUUGCUGUGGUGGUUUUGGAUGGAUGGGGUGAGGCCAACGCUGAUCAAUACAACUGUAUCCACACUGCUGAAACUCCAACCAUGAAUUCCCUCAAAAAGGGUGCACCUGAAAGGUGGAGAUUGGUGAGGGCUCAUGGUACUGCUGUGGGACUUCCUACAGAGAAUGACAUGGGCAACAGUGAAGUCGAUCACUUUGUUUAAAAUUAGAUAAAAUUGUGUAAAAUUUAGUAUGGUUGAACAAUAUACUGAGGAUUAUAGUUGAUAAUACACUUUGUUUAUAUUUUGAAUUAUAUUGAUUUGUUUGUUUAUAA